rnacentral:rRNA from 1 species
GGAUCCAGACUUUGAUCAUGGCUCAGGAUGAACGCUAGCUACAGGCUUAGCACAUGCAAGUCGAGGGGAAACGAUAUUGGAAGCUUGCUUCCGAUAGGCGUCGACCGGCGCACGGGUGAGUAACGCGUAUCCAACCUGCCCACCACUUGGGGAUAACCUUGCGAAAGUAAGACUAAUACCCAAUGAUAUCUCUAGAAGACAUCUGAAAGGGAUUAAAGAUUUAUCGGUGAUGGAUGGGGAUGCGUCUGAUUAGCUUGUUGGCGGGGUAACGGCCCACCAAGGCGACGAUCAGUAGGGGUUCUGAGAGGAAGGUCCCCCACAUUGGAACUGAGACACGGUCCAAACUCCUACGGGAGGCAGCAGUGAGGAAUAUUGGUCAAUGGGCGAGAGCCUGAACCAGCCAAGUAGCGUGCAGGAAGACGGCCCUAUGGGCUGUAAACUGCUUUUAUAAGGGAAUAAAGUGAGUCUCGUGAGACUUUUUGCAUGUACCUUAUGAAUAAGGACCGGCUAAUUCCGUGCCAGCAGCCGCGGUAAUACGGAAGGUCCGGGCGUUAUCCGGAUUUAUUGGGUUUAAAGGGAGCGUAGGCCGGAGAUUAAGCGUGUUGUGAAAUGUAGACGCUCAACGUCUGCACUGCAGCGCGAACUGGUUUCCUUGAGUACGCACAAAGUGGGCGGAAUUCGUAGUGUAGCGGUGAAAUGCUUAGAUAUCACGAAGAACUCCGAUUGCGAAGGCAGCUCACUGGAGCGCAACUGACGCUGAAGCUCGAAAGUGCGGGUAUCGAACAGGAUUAGAUACCCUGGUAGUCCGCACGGUAAACGAUGGAUGCCCGCUGUUGGUCUGAAUAGGUCAGCGGCCAAGCGAAAGCAUUAAGCAUCCCACCUGGGGAGUACGCCGGCAACGGUGCAACUCAAAGGAAUUGACGG